rnacentral:misc_RNA from 1 species
GAAAAGUCGUAACAAGGUUUCCGUAGGUGAACCUGCGGAAGGAUCAUUAUUGUAUAACCGAGGUGCGAGGGCUGUCGCUGACCCGAAAGGUCGUGCACGCCCGAGUGCCCUCACACACAUCCAUCUCACCCCUAUGUGCACCACCGCGUGGGUCCCCCUUUGGCUUGUUCGGAGGGGGGCUUACGUUUUCACACAAACUUUGUAUGCAGUGUAGAAUGUAUUUUUUGUUUUUGCGAUCACGCAAUCAAUACAACUCUCAACAACGGAUCUCUUGGCUCUC